rnacentral:rRNA from 2 species
CUCGGCUUAACCGAGGAAGUGCAUCGGAAACUGGGAAACUUGAGUGCAGAAGAGGACAGUGGAACUCCAUGUGUAGCGGUGAAAUGCGUAGAUAUAUGGAAGAACACCAGUGGCGAAGGCGGCUGUCUGGUCUGUAACUGACGCUGAGGCUCGAAAGCAUGGGUAGCGAACAGGAUUAGAUACCCUGGUAGUCCAUGCCGUAAACGAUGAAUGCUAGGUGUUGGAGGGUUUCCGCCCUUCAGUGCCGCAGCUAACGCAUUAAGCAUUCCGCCUGGGGAGUACGACCGCAAGGUUGAAACUCAAAGGAAUUGACGGGGGCCCGCACAAGCGGUGGAGCAUGUGGUUUAAUUCGAAGCAACGCGAAGAACCUUACCAGGUCUUGACAUCUUUUGAUCACCUGAGAGAUCAGGUUUCCCCUUCGGGGGCAAAAUGACAGGUGGUGCAUGGUUGUCGUCAGCUCGUGUCGUGAGAUGUUGGGUUAAGUCCCGCAACGAGCGCAACCCUUAUGACUAGUUGCCAGCAUUUAGUUGGGCACUCUAGUAAGACUGCCGGUGACAAACCGGAGGAAGGUGGGGAUGACGUCAAAUCAUCAUGCCCCUUAUGACCUGGGCUACACACGUGCUACAAUGGAUGGUACAACGAGUUGCGAGACCGCGAGGUCAAGCUAAUCUCUUAAAGCCAUUCUCAGUUCGGACUGUAGGCUGCAACUCGCCUACACGAAGUCGGAAUCGCUAGUAAUCGCGGAUCAGCACGCCGCGGUGAAUACGUUCCCGGGCCUUGUACACACCGCCCGUCACACCAUGAGAGUUUGUAACACCCGAAGCCGGUGGCGUAACCCU